GACCGUUGCAAGUUCCCGAAAGGAUUCAUUUGUGUAGCAAAUGAAGAUGCCUUGUAACCGACAAAUAUUAGGGGGAAUCAUCAUG
rnacentral:sRNA from 2 species